AACGUUGAGACACCGGUUCCUGUCAGAUCAAUAAAGUUAAGCGAUGUCGAGCUUAGUCAGUACCUAGAUGGGUAACAACUUGGGAAUACCAGCUGCUGUAAG